rnacentral:rRNA from 1 species
UACGUAGGGUGCGAGCGUUGUCCGGAAUUACUGGGCGUAAAGAGCUCGUAGGUGGUUUGUCGCGUUGUUCGUGAAAACUCACAGCUUAACUGUGGGCGUGCGGGCGAUACGGGCAGACUGGAGUACUGCAGGGGAGACUGGAAUUCCUGGUGUAGCGGUGGAAUGCGCAGAUAUCAGGAGGAACACCAACAGCGAAGGCAGCACUCUGGGCCGGUACUGACGCUGAGGAGCGAAAGCAUGGGGAGCGAACAGG